UAUAUAGUCUUUUUGCAACAAACCAUCGUCCGUAUAUAUGUCAAACCAGAAAAAAGACCCAGUACCAUUUAAUUUGUAACUAGGUGCUUCCAAGUCGGUCUCACCCCAAAUUCCUAAAACAUGCCCUAAAUUGUCGGCAUGCAUUUCCGCAAUAUUAGAUAGCUCGUACCUGUCAAUAAACAAUGUAGGUGGUAUGUACAUGAACCCCUGCAAAGAGCAUUCGUCUUCAGGUUUAUGCAGAUUUUUCAAAUGAACAUGCAAUUUGGGAUGUAGACCUACCGGCAAACCGAGCUGUGUCUCAUAACUACCCAC